rnacentral:rRNA from 1 species
UACGUAGGGGGCGAGCGUUGUCCGGAUUUAUUGGGCGUAAAGAGCGUGUAGGCGGCCAGGUAGGUCUGCUGUGAAAACUCGAGGCUCAACCUCGAGACGUCGGCGGAAACCAUCUGGCUAGAGUCCGGAAGAGGAGAGUGGAAUUCCAGGUGUAGCGGUGAAAUGCGUAGAUAUCUGGAGGAAUACCGGUGGCGAAGGCGGCAUCCUGGACCGGCAUUGACGCUGAGGAGCGAAAGCUAGGGGAGCAAACGGG